rnacentral:rRNA from 1 species
GACGAACGCUGGCGGCGUGCCUAAUACAUGCAAGUAGAACGCUGAAGCUUGGUGCUUGCACCGCGCGGCUGAGUUGCGAACGGGUGAGUAACGCGUAGGUAACCUGCCUGGUAGCGGGGGAUAACUAUUGGAAACGAUAGCUAAUACCGCAUAAGAGUAGAUGUUGCAUGACCUUUGCUUAAAAGGUGCAAUUGCAUCACUACCAGAUGGACCUGCGUUGUAUUAGCUAGUUGGUGAGGUGACGGCUCACCAAGGCAACGAUACAUAACCGACCAGAGAGGGUGAGCGGCAACACCGGGACGGGGACGCGGCCCAGAACCCUACGGGAGGCAGAAGUAGGGAAUCUUUGGGAAUGGAAGGAAGGCGGAACGAGGAACGACGCGUGAGUGAAGGAGGUUUUCGGGUCGUAAAAGUCAGUUGUAAGAGAAGAACGAGAGUGAGAGUGGAAAGUUCACACUGUGACGGUAUCUUACCAGAAAGGGACGGCUAACUACGUG